rnacentral:rRNA from 1 species
UACUCCUACGGGAGGCAGCAGUGCGGAAUUUUAGAUAAUGGAGGGAACUCUGAUCUAGCGACGCCGCGUGCAGGAAGAAGGUCUUCGGAUUGUAAACUGCUGUGGUAAGGGAAAAAUGCUAUGUAGAGUGGAAAGCUACAUAGAGGGAUGGUACCUCACUAGAAAGCCCCGGCUAACUACGUGCCAGCAGCCGCGGUAAUA